rnacentral:rRNA from 1 species
GACGAACGCUGGCGGCGUGCCUAAUACAUGCAAGUAGAACGCUGAAGGAGGAGCUUGCUUCUCUGGAUGAGUUGCGCACGGGUGAGUAACGCGUAGGUAACCUGCCUGGUAGCGGGGGAUAACUAUUGGAAACGAUAGCUAAUACCGCAUAAUAGCACUUGUUGCAUGACAACUAUUUGAAAGGUGCAAUUGCACCACUACCAGAUGGACCUGCGUUGUAUUAGCUAGUUGGUGGGGUAACGGCUCACCAAGGCGACGAUACAUAGCCGACCUGAGAGGGUGAUCGGCCACACUGGGACUGAGACACGGCCCAAACUCCUACGGGAGGCAGCAGUAGGGAAUCUUCGGCAAUGGACGGAAGUCUGACCGAGCAACGCCGCGUGAGUGAAGAAGGUUUUCGGAUCGUAAAGCUCUGCUGUAAGAGAAGAACGAUUGUGAGAGUGGAAAGUUCACACUGUGACGGUAUCUUACCAGAAAGGGACGGCUAACUACGUG